rnacentral:rRNA from 1 species
UUCGGAUUGUAGGCUGCAACCCGCCUGCAUGAAGUUGGAAUUGCUAGUAAUCGCGGAUCAGCAUGCCGCGGUGAAUACGUUCCCCGGGGGAUUGUACACACCGCCCGUCACACCAUGAGAGUCGGGAACACCCAAAGUCCGUAGUCUAACCGCAAGGAGGACGCGGCCUAAGGUGGGUUCGAUAAUUGGGGUGAAGUCGUAACAAGGUAUC